UAUCGCAUGCUCUCGAUCAGAUUUUGAUUAACUCGAGAUAUGAAAAUAAUCCUUCGAAUUGCUGUAGAAACUGUCGGAGAGUUCCAAAAAUCGAAGAUGUCAAGAAAUAGAUCGGCAGCAUCGAAACGACUGUACUUCAGAACCAAACAAAUGACUCUCUCCAACAUUUGAUAUGCACCAUCUCGAUUUUGAAAAUCAAACUAUUGCUGGAUAAUCA
rnacentral:lncRNA from 1 species